rnacentral:rRNA from 1 species
AUGCUCAACUCAGACAGUGCUGAUGUUGUUUUAUAUUCUCUACGUCAGAAGUACCGAGACACUGACAAGUUGAUAGUUCCCAGAUGGGUGACGACCAAGAUCCGUGAUGGAAAUAUUGAUUCCAAUGUGCUGAAUUGGUUUACGAGAUCAGAGAGCCCCUCUACACCCAAGAAUCCCAUUAUGGAAUUGAUAGACAACGAUGAUGAUGCGUUUGACAAGAUUGUUGGCAUGGGAAGAGUCACCAGGAGUGCUGCUGCUGCCAAGGGUUUAUCCCCACUUGCUGGAAUAGUGGCCCGUAGAGCUGGUGGUGCUAGGAAGGAUCCUGCUUUGGAUUCUGGCAAUGUUACAAGCACGAAGCGUGCACCCAGAGCUCCUAUAAAGUUUUGCUCCCCUGUGCAGCAGCUUCACCCUCAUAGAUUCCCUCACCUAGACAAGGCUCGCAAGUUGUAUAAUCUGUUGCUUAGCGAUGAAGCAUGUGAGAGAACAAUACAUUCUCAAUGA